GUUCUCUCUGCCUCCACAGAUAAUGAAAGGGUCCUUGGAGAUUCUAAUUGCAGUAGGUCUGGGAUAGAGUCCAUGACUCUGUGUAUUUUAAGAGUUCCGUAUGGACUUCCCAUGUUAAAGAGAGUUUGGGAAAUGCUGUCAGGACACUGACAGAGAAUAUGCAAAUGGAUGUAUUAAUAUUGUCAUGUUUUGAGGAGGUACUGUGAAGACAGAAAACAUAUGGGGGAAACAACACAUGGAGAAAGGGAGGCCCAGAAACCCCCAAGAAUGUUCCAGACAUAGGAAUGAGUCCAUCUGUGACCAGCCAUCCCCCAAUAACCUGCCAGUUGACUGAAAAUGAAUGGGUGAGUUCAUCUGAUACCACGGUGAGGAGAUAAACUGCCCAUCUGACCCCUUCUAGAAUUGCCAAUUCAUGGAAUCAUCAGCUAAUAGAUGAUUGUUGUUUUAAGUGUUAGGAGUGGUUUAUUAUAAUAAUUAU